rfam:Firmicutes bacterium CAG:313 genomic scaffold, scf20
UAGUAUAAAAAGUCUCUGCCGUAGACAGUAGGUGCUAAUGAGAUAAGACAGCUCAAAAGCUUAAUAUUCCUACCGAGGAACAAAUCUUUCUUUCAAUUGAAAGAAAAAAUUUUUCAGGAGGUGA